GUGCUCAUUUCAUCAGCACACAUACUAAAAUUGAAAUUACACAGAAAAGAUUAAUGUGGUCCCUAUGCAAGGAUGACACACAAAUUUGUGAAACAUUUCAAAUUUUA